AAAAAUUUAGUUAAAUAAUAACACUAACUUGUCAUGUUAGAAUUAAUUUUUAAAAUUAAUUUUUA
rnacentral:tRNA from 1 species